rnacentral:rRNA from 1 species
GUUUGGGUGGCGGACGGGUGAGUAACGCGUAAAGAACUUGCCUCACAGUUAGGGACAACAUUUGGAAACGAAUGCUAAUACCUGAUAUUAUGAUUUUAGGGCAUCCUAAGAUUAUGGAAGCUAUAUGCGCUGUGAGAGAGCUUUGCGUCCCAUUAGCUAGUUGGAGAGGUAACGGCUCACCAAGGCGAUGAUGGGUAGCCGGCCUGAGAGGGUGAACGGCCCCAAGGGGACUGAGACACGGCCCUUACUCCUACGGGAGGCAGCAGUGGGGAAUAUUGGACAAUGGACCAAAAGUCUGAUCCAGCAAUUCUGUGUGCACGAUGACGUUUUUCGGAAUGUAAAGUGCUUUCAGUUGGGAAGAAAAAAAUGACGGUACCAACAGAAGAAGUGACGGCUAAAUACGUGCCAGCAGCCGCGGUAAUACGUAUGUCACAAGCGUUAUCCGGAUUUAUUGGGCGUAAAGCGCGUCUAGGUGGUUAUGUAAGUCUGAUGUGAAAAUGCAGGGCUCAACUCUGUAUUGCGUUGGAAACUGCAUGACUAGAGUACUGGAGAGGUAAGCGGAACUACAAGUGUAGAGGUGAAAUUCGUAGAUAUUUGUAGGAAUGCCGAUGGGGAAGCCAGCUUACUGGACAGAUACUGACGCUAAAGCGCGAAAGCGUGGGUAGCAAACAGGAUUAGAUACCCUGGUAGUCCACGCCGUAAACGAUGAUUACUAGGUGUUGGGGGUCGAACCUCAGCGCCCAAGCUAACGCGAUA